rnacentral:lncRNA from 1 species
AUCUAAAAUUCAUGAAUUUUUGACUCCUAUUUGAUAGCAUAUGGGGCGGCAACCUUUUAUAUGGUAGACUAGGUCAUAAAACCUAGUCUAACAAGGAGUCCAUGGGGCAUCCAACUCUUGGACGCCCCCUCCCUCCUAAAUUUCAUGGAGAGCAUGAAAAUAACCUCAAAAGGGGUGACAAAAAGAAGGGAUAAGGAUGGAGGAAGUUGGCACAUGAGAAG